CUGAGCCUGACCAACCCGGGCCCGGGCCAACCUGAGCCGGAGGGCCUAAGCAAUACAUCGUCGUUUGCGUGUCAUCGGCGGACGUGUCAAUGUGACAAAAGUUUAGGGGCGACCGUGCGAGAACGUGACGAGCGCGUCCCUCGUCUGUCGUCUCUCCAUUCGCCGAGAGGCCGACGGAAGGACCGCCUCUGGCCGUCCCGGAAGCCGGAACGCCGCCUCGGCAGAAGAAACCAAUCAGACGAAUCAGUUUUCUCGAUAGAUCGAUCCAUCGAUCGUCGAUCGAGAUUCAAAUAGCGGCGGCAUCUGCUUCCAUUUGUCGGUCUUUUUUCCUUUUUCUUGAUUCUUUUGUGAGCCUCUGGUUCGUCGGAAACCGGUGGUGGGUGAUGGCCGACGUUGAAGGCGCAUAUGACCUUCCUGAACUGCCCCUCGAGAAGGUCUCCAUAUCUGGGCCCCUACUGUCUUCUCUCCUGCAGCGGUUCGCUGCCGCCGGCGGUGACUGCGACGGACUCCUCUUCGGCCACGUCCGCCAGCUCUCCGCCCCCAAGCUCCAGGACGACUACGACAGCUUCACCGAUCCCUCCGCCGCCGUCGCGGAAAAUGUCGCCGCUUUCAUCACGGGUUAUGUCUGCUCCGGUUCUCCUCAGAGCUUCUAUGACGCCGCCGGCCUGCUCCAUCUUCCCACCCUCGACAAGUUUGUCGCCCAGCAAAGGCAGCCGGAAUUUGAUGGUGCUGCCCCCGCCACCUCCUCGACCGCCUCGUCCGGCCUAAUCGGCUGGUUCGUCGGCCGGAGAAACACCCAACUUCGCCCUUCUAUGCGCGAGCGUGCCGUCUCCUCUUCCCUCUUCAAUAUCUUGCCCUCCAAUAAAAACCUAGCUUCCGUAAGACAAGCGGAACCACCGCGCGUUUUUCUGCUCCUGUCCGGAUCCUUCUCUCCUCAGACGCCUAUUCACACGCAUGAGUACCGCGCUUUUGAGUUCCUCCGCCGAGGCUCCUUCGUUCCGAAAUCGAUCGAUAUCGUCAACGUCGGCCCCGGAUUUCGAGGCCACUACGAUGUAUUUUGCCCCAUUUCGUCCUUCUCCUGGCUCUCUGUGGAUGCAAAAGGUCAGAGGGACGUGGUUGCAGAAGCCAACUGCAGGAGCAAUCGGAGUAGAAUUGGGGAGCAAGAUGCUUUGGAGACGAUGGAACGAGUGAGCAAUACGUUGAUAGGUGCCGAAUCUGCAAAUUAUACCGCAGAGUUGGAGGAUCUUUACAGAAGGAUGCUCUCUAAACUUGAGAAUCUAUCACGUCAAGUGGAAAUGAGCUCUGCCAUGCUUCUUGAACAAGGUUAGAUAAAGCAGAAUUUGCAUGGUCUUUAGUUUUCAGCAAGAAUUGGGAUUCUUGAAUAGUUGCCCGCAAGCAGUAUGAAGUAUUUUUUGUUAUGCACCGGGUGUUGCAGAGGGUAAGACUCCACACUCCACAGACAAAGUAAUUGAACAGUUGUAGCUUUGACAGGAAUGUUCGUAGCAAAUGAUGUCCUGCAUAUUUGGCCGUCUGACUUGUUUCAGAUGACUAUUUUGGGCAGUGACAACUGACUGCAGAUCAUUUCAUCCGGCAGCUGCUGGUGAAUGCUCAUGAUCACCAGAAUACGCACUAAUGGCAGGGGACGUUGUCAAGGAGCAUGCCGUUUCUGGGGAACGCUCUAGGUUCUCAUAGGUCUACUAUUUUCGAUGCCUGAAAAGCAGAUGUCCAAUGACUCAUACUUCUUUCCUUCAAAUUCUAAGACAUAAAGUUACGUAAAGAUUGCACAAACGAUUGAAGAUCCUUGCUAAAGGAGCUCAGUUUAGAAGAUACAUGGGAAGGUUGGAAACUUGGGAGCGUGCAACAGAAAAUGUGAAACGGAGAAAUGAUUGUUUCUUUUUAAUAGUCGGGAAAGAUGAUCCAUCAGAUGAGUCUUUAGUCUUCUUACUAGGGCUGGAUGCAUGGUAAUUGACUAAUACAGAUGUCAUUCCUGGCAUACAGGAGAAGAAGAAUUUAAGGCUGAGGUCCAAAAUUGCAGGAUUGGAAUAAUGUUCCUAUGUUUUCAGCCUUCUCAUUUCCUCUAUAGCUAUGUCUCCUGAAUAUAGCAAAUUUCAUUUUUGGAUUGGCCUUUCCAUGUUUCUAUAAGAGGAUUUCUCCUUUUUGUUCUC